GCUCAGGGAGAAAGCAUAGCUUGUGGCCUCCUUCUUCAUUGAACUCUCUCUCUUCAUUCUCCCUUGAGAACUUGUUUGGAAAUUUCAACAGAGGAAUGCAGCUACUUGUAACUCUUGACUAAGGAAAUAGUCCUCCUCUAUCAGGGGUGGUUAUGCUCUUCAACUGAGCAUGCAGCUUGGGAUGCACAUGGAGCCUAGCCAGCCUGAUCAGUUGAAUCAACCUUGGUGAUCAGUGAGAUGACAGAUGUUGCAGCCAGAUCACCCUCACAUCCUCUUUGCUCUCCUUGUAGGCUUUAAUUCUUGCUUCAAAUUCAACAUGGCAGAAUGGAGGAGUCACACUGGACCCAUUCAGAGAAAAAUCAACUAAAGAUACAGUUAACAGUCAGCUCCAGAUUUGAGGAAAUUGAAGAAUGUGCAGGAACUUUUACUUCCAUUGCAGGUCCCAAAGAUGAGGACUCCAGUAAGGUACCCAGUGGAAGCGCCUCUCAGCAGGCAUCGGCCGACUUCAGGAGGCUCCUGAUCAACAGGUAGAAGGGUAGGAAGGCGGUGGAGGAUUGUAGGUUGUAGCUUCAGAAAACUUCCCCUCCUGGGGCUGCCUCUUUGGGUUGUGUGUGUUUAGUGGGGGGAAUCCUAAUCUAACAGAUUUGAUACUUUUCCGACACAAGGGUUCCCUAAAGGGGAAGGGCCAGAAGAGAAAAAGGAGCCAUUGGUCCUCUUCCUGUGUUGGAACCUGACAUGCUAAGGUCAAUCUGGGCCCCAUUUCUGUCUCUAUCCUCCACUCCCAGAGCAACUCAAACUUCUCAAUAUACCCUAUGCCUUUGAGUCUUCCUGCCUCAGUCCUGGUAAAAAGAAACUCCACAAGAGCAGGGAGUUUGCCAGGGUGAUGUGCUGCUAAUGAUCAGAGACUAAUAGUUCAGUGAGUAUAUGAAUGGGUACUCCCAAUUGAUUUGUCCACAGCUCAAAUGAUAUUUCAAGGGAGACUUUCCUGACUAUCCCUCACCACACACACAGCUCCAUCAACUUCUCAAAGGCUUCUAACCAUCCUUGGUGAGCAGGUUGAACAUGUCUUCUCCUAAUUUCACUUUAAAUGCCAGUAGUUUGAAAUCAGCUGUAGUGGAAGAAUUUACAUCAUGGAAAUGGGCAUACACUACAAAUCAUAGCCUUUUCCCCUCCAAGAGCUAGUUGUUAGAUGUUUACCAACACACAACUGCCCCCAGUCCUUUUUUCUCCACUUACAAACUGUAAUUCAG
rnacentral:lncRNA from 1 species